UGGGGAAUAUUGCGCAAUGGGCGAAAGCCUGACGCAGCGACGCCGCGUGGGUGAUGAAGGCCUUCGGGUCGUAAAGCCCUGUCGGGAGGGACGAAACCUCGGUGACCUAAUACGUCACCGACCUGACGGUACCUCUUAAGGAAGCACCGGCUAACUCCGUGCCAGCAGCCGCGGUAAUACGGAGGGUGCGAGCGUUGUUCGGAAUUACUGGGCGUAAAGCGUGCGCAGGCGGUUUUGUAAGACAGAGGUGAAAUCCCCGGGCUCAACCUGGGAAAUGCCUUUGNGACUGCAAGGCUGGAGUGCGGCAGAGGGGGAUGGAAUUCCGCGUGUAGCAAUGAAAUGCGUAGAUAUGCGGAGGAACACCGAUGGCGAAGGCAAUCCCCUGGGCCUGCACUGACGCUCAUGCACGAAAGCGUGGGGAGCAAACA
rnacentral:rRNA from 1 species